GACGAACGCUGGCGGCGUGCUUAACACAUGCAAGUCGAACGGAAAGGCCCUGCUUUUGUGGGGUGCUCGAGUGGCGAACGGGUGAGUAACACGUGAGUAACCUGCCCUUGACUUUGGGAUAACUUCAGGAAACUGGGGCUAAUACCGGAUAGGAGCUCCUGCUGCAUGGUGGGGGUUGGAAAGUUUCGGCGGUUGGGGAUCGACUCGCGGCUUAUCAGCUUGUUGGUGGGGUAGUGGCUUACCAAGGCUUUGACGGGUAGCCGGCCUGAGAGGGUGACCGGCCACAUUGGGACUGAGAUACGGCCCAGACUCCUACGGGAGGCAGCAGUGGGGAAUAUUGCACAAUGGGCGGAAGCCUGAUGCAGCAACGCCGCGUGCGGGAUGACGGCCUUCGGGUUGUAAACCGCUUUCGCCUGUGACGCAGCGUGAGUGACGGUAAUGGGUAAAGAAGCACCGGCUAACUACGUG
rnacentral:rRNA from 1 species